rnacentral:lncRNA from 1 species
GUUCCAGAAGAAACGCUCCAAAGGGACUGCACAGAGCAAUAUGUCCUCCAGCAUGAGCAGUGUGCUAUAUAAAAGAAAGAGAGAUUUUCCUGUUUGGUUAACCAGCUAUCUCCUUUCAGGCAAUGGACAGGGUGCAAACCCACCAAGAUGACUAACUUUUCAUAUAUCAAGAGUCAUGAAUGCACAAUUCAAAGCCAAAAGCAAUAGGCUUCAUUCUAGUUUUCAUCUACAAUUUCUAGGAGUAGAAAUCAUGCAUUUGGCUGAGAUAAAGGUCUGCCAACUAAAAAAAUCAGAGUAAUUGUCCACUGUGCCUGGGAAGAAGGAUGCUGAAG